rnacentral:misc_RNA from 2 species
CAACCCUCAAGCUCUGCUUGGUGUUGGGCCAUGCCCAUUGCGGCCGGCCUCAAAAUCAGUGGCGGCGCCAUCUGGCUCUAAGCGUAGUACAUCUCUCGCUCUAGGGUCCGGUGGUGGCUUGCCAUAACCCCAACUUCUAU